UACCCGCUGAAUUAAGCAUUCAUUAGCGGAGGAAAAGAACUAACAGGAUUCCCCUAGUAACGGCGAGUGAAGCGGGAACAGCUCAAAUUUGAAAUCUUGCAGGGUUACCUGUGCGAAUUGUAGUUUAGAGAAGCGUUUUCGGGGGCAACUUGGGUAUAAGUCCUUUGGAAUGAGGCAUCAUAGAGGGUGAGAAUCCCGUUUAUGAUCCAAUGUUUGCUCCUAUGUGAUACGCUUUCCAAGAGUCAGGUAGUUUGGGAUUGCUGCCUAAAAUGGGUGGUAAAUACCAUCUAAAGCUAAAUAUUGGCGAGAGACCGAUAGCGAACAAGUACCGUGAGGGAAAGAUGAAAAGAACUUUGAAAAGAGAGUUAAACAGUACGUGAAAUUGCCAAAAGGGAAACGCUUGGAACCAGUAUUGUUUACAGGUAAUCAGCCAUACAGCCUGCAAAGGUUAGUACGGUGCACUUGCUUGUGAACAGGUCAACAUCAGUUUGGUUUGGGGUAAAAAGCCAGAGGAAGGUGACUUGGACUUCGGUUUGAGUGUUAUAGCCUCUGGUCAUGCCUUGGACUGGACUGAGGUCUGCAGCAUUAUUUGGGUACCUGAUUGCCUCCUGACCCUUGGUUUUAGACAGCUUGCUGACUGAGAUCAAGGUUAGGGAGCCCAGUUAGCUUGCCACACCAGUGCUUAGGAUGUUGACGAAAUGAUUCCAAACGACCCGUCUUGAAACACGGACCAAGGAGUCUAACAUAUAUGCGAGUAUUUGGGUGGCAAACCCUUAUGCGAAAUGAAAGUGAACUUAGGUGGGAUCUUCGGUGCACCAUCGACCGGUCUGGAUUUUUUUGAUAGAUCUGAGUAAGAGCAUAUCUGUUGGGACCCGAAAGAUGGUGAACUAUGCCUGAAUAGGGUGAAGCCAGAGGAAACUCUGGUGGAGGCUCGUAGCGAUUCUGACGUGCAAAUCGAUCGUCAAAUUUGGGUAUAGGGGCGAAAGACUAAUCGAACCAUCUAGUAGCUGGUUCCCUCCAAGUUCCCCCCCAGA
rnacentral:rRNA from 1 species